rfam:Phytophthora infestans T30-4 supercont1.9 genomic scaffold, whole genome shotgun sequence.
GCCUCGAUAGCUCAGUUGGGAGAGCGUCAGACUGAAGAUCUGAAGGUCUCUGGUUCGAUCCCGGGUCGCUGCA